rnacentral:lncRNA from 10 species
GAGAAAUUCAGAGACACAUUCAGGGCUCAGCCGGUAGAUGUGCUGAGAAUCUUCGGUAGACAACUGUCGAAGUACGGCGGACAAACUUUAAAGAUUUCCAGAAGUUAAGGAAAGAGAUGCAAAAGCAGAGAAAAGGCGACUUGUCUUUUCAGUGUUGCAUUACUGUGUGGCGUAAAACAUCUUCUAAAAAGCUCCUGUGGCCGGGCACGGUGGCUCACGUCUGUAAUCCCAGCACUUUGGGAGGCCGAAGCGGGCGAAUCACUUGAGAAAAGUUCUAGGAAAAAGCCCAGCCCCAGAAAAACAAAAACCAAAACAUUUAGAUCCAGAAAUGCCUGAGUGAAGAUGAACUUUGGUGAACUCCCCUUACAAUCCUGCUAAAAUCCCCACCCAGGGAAGAGCUUAUUCACCAUUUUCUAUACAUGCAACAUGUGUAGAAGCAUGAUCGGCAAUUGUGUCUUCGCUGCCUUUACUCCACCUGUACAUACAAUGACUGAGCUAACCAGCCCAAUAAAAGCACUGUUUUCACUGUU